rnacentral:rRNA from 1 species
UACAGAGGUCUCAAGCGUUGUUCGGAUUCAUUGGGCGUAAAGGGUGCGUAGGUGGCGCUGUAAGUCGGGUGUGAAAUUUCGGAGCUUAACUCCGAAACUGCAUUCGAUACUGCGGUGCUUUGAGGACUGGAGAGGAGACUGGAAUUCAUGGUGUAGCAGUGAAAAUGCGUAGAGAUCAUGAGGAAGACCAGUGGCGAAGGCGGGGUCUCUGGACAGUUUCCUGACACUGAGGCACGAAGGCCAGGGGGAGCAAAACGGGG